rnacentral:rRNA from 1 species
CCUACGGGUGACAGCAGUGAGGAAUAUUGGUCAAUGGACGAGAGUCUGAACCAGCCAAGUAGCGUGAAGGAUGACUGCCCUAUGGGUUGUAAACUUCUUUUAUAUGGGAAUAAAAUGUUCCACGUGUGGGAUUUUGUAUGUACCAUAUGAAUAAGGAUCGGCUAACUCCGUGCCAGCAGCCGCGGUAAUACGGAGGAUCCGAGCGUUAUCCGGAUUUAUUGGGUUUAAAGGGAGCGUAGGUGGAUUGUUAAGUCAGUUGUGAAAGUUUGCGGCUCAACCGUAAAAUUGCAGUUGAAACUGGCAGUCUUGAGUACAGUAGAGGUGGGCGGAAUUCGUGGUGUAGCGGUGAAAUGCUGAGAUAUCACGAAGAACUCCGAUUGCGAAGGCAGUUCACUGGACUGCAACUGACACUGAGGCUCGAAAGUGUGGGUAUCAAACAGGAUUAGAUACCCGAGUAGUC